GGGGGGGGGGUACAGGCUUUCCCCUAUGGCCCUAUCCACGACCGCGUGCCAUGGAGCCAGACCCCGCACCAUUCUAUCCCCGCGUCGCCGCCCUGCCUCCCUCCAGCUCGACGCCGCUGCCCGGCCUUGCUCCGCUCCGCCGCCGCACCAUGGAGCCACACGAGCCAUCCUGCCUCCCUCCACUUCUUUCUGACCCUUCUCCUUUGGCUCCUCCCUGCCGCAGCCAAGGACAGCACCCCGUCACCGCCGCGGUAGCUGAUGUUCCUCCAGUGCGCUGCGUUCGUCGAGCGCCCCAUCCUGCAGCUCGUGGAGGCACCGCAGCUCGCCCUGUCCACAAGGGAGAAGCCAUCCCGAACCCUCGUUCUGCCUCCUAUGGAGGAACCUCGAUGUGCACAUCCAUAUCGGCGCGGCGCAAGGCACACCUGAGCAAGCAGGCGCAUGGAACUUUUGCUGCGCAUCUUCCUCACGCUCCUGUGCUAUAUCCCAUGCCGCAGAGUGCGCCAACUAGCGCCCCCCACUGCAGCAGGUGAUGCUGACAUGGACGAUGCCUACCAUAUGCUCGAGGAAAUGCCUCCAAGUGAUCCAAUGGCUAGCGGUGGUUCCUUUACGGGUAUGCUGAGUGAUGAUGUUGGUAUAGAUGAUAUCUCCUUUUCAAUGCCAUAUGAACAAGAGAGAUAUGCUCAACAGGAUGCUUUGACAUUCCUAUACCAACUGCAAAAAAAGCUCGUCAGUCAAGAUCAUCCAACUACACAACACAAGAGGAUGAGGCACUAGUCAUGGCUUGGGAAAGUGUAAGUCUGGAUCCAGUUAAAGGGAAUGAACAAAGCAGCUGCACCUAUUGGAAGCGCAUAUAUGACCACUACCACCGCAACAAAAAGUGUGCGUCUGACUGAUCUCUUAAUUCACUUCAACAUCGGUGGGGUACAAUUCAAGAAUGUUGCAACAAGUGGGCAAGCUCGCAAGUUGAGCGCCAAAGUCCAAGUGGUGUGCCGUACCAAGAGCAUAUCAACAUCGCCCAGGAGCGAUACAAAGAAAUGGAUCCACUUAAGAAAGGGAGGCCAUUUGUCAUGCUACACUGUUGGGCCCUGCUACAACACCAUCAAAAGUGGCUGAAAAGGAAAGAUGAAGCUCCACCAAAGAGGCAAAAGUCAACCAACUCAAUAGAGUUUGCUGGUGUUGAAGAUAUUGAUGAAGAUGGAGUACAAAAUGAGGAUGGGAGAGGCAGGAGUCCAACUCCAUGCUCGACAGGACCUACAGAUAAGAGACCCCCAGGAAGAAAAGCUUCAAAAGAGAAGUUAAAGAAAGGAUCAGACAGUGGUAUCUAUAAGGAGAUGUUUCAAGAAAUGAUCACAACAAGAAAAGAAAAGAAACAAGAAAAUGAAACAAGGUGGAUGGAGGUUAAAGCAAUGGAGGAGCGAAAGGCAACCAUCGAGGAGCGGAAGGCAACCAUUGAGGAGCGCAAAGUGGCCAUUGAAGAGGAAAAACUGAGGAUCAUGAGCAAGAAGGCGAUGAACAAAAAGUUGGAGCAGGAACAAAAGAUCAUAUUCAUGGACAGCAGUUGUCUGGAUGAUGACCAAAAAGCAUAUGUGAGUGCAGUGCGUGCGCAGAUAUUAACAGCUCGAAUUGGCACGUUUGUGGGUGGAACGUCAGGUGGUCUCACAAGAAGUUCGUGCUGAGCUUCAUGAUUUUUGCUGCUGCCUGCUACAUGGUUGCCCUGCUGGUUUUUUGGAGAAACCACUUGCAAACCUGUUAUUUGGAUAUUACUAUGAUGAGAUUGAGUGUUCAUAUAUCUCAGAUAAACAUAUAUAGUACUGCAGACCCGGUUGAACAUUUGUGGCAACUUUAUGGACAAUAGUUUAGUUCCUAUUAUAUGCUAUCUCUUUUCUUUAAGGAUAUACUACUACCAGAUUUGAUCAGGACAAUACCAGCUUUUCAACGGACAUGCAUAUGAUCCUAGUUCAUGCAGAAUUGCAACUGAAUUGUAUCA